rnacentral:rRNA from 1 species
CUACGUAGGGGGCGAGCGUUGUCCGGAAUGAUUGGGCGUAAAGGGCGCGAAGGCGGCGCGGUAAGUCUGGAGUGAAAGUCCUGCUUUCAAGGUGGGAAUUGCUUUGGAUACUGCCGCGCUUGAGUGCAGGAGAGGUUAUCGGAAUUCCCGGUGUAGCGGUGAAAUGCGUAGAGAUCGGGAGGAACACCAGUGGCGAAGGCGGGUAACUGGACUGCAACUGACGCUGAGGCGCGAAAGUGUGGGGAGCAAACAGGAUUAGAUACCCUGGUAGUCCACACUGUAAACGAUGAAUGCUAGGUGUAAGAGGUAUCGACCCCUUUUGUGCCGGAGUCAACACAAUAAGCAUUCCGCCUGGGGAGUACGGCCGCAAGGUUGAAACUCAAAUGAAUUGGCGGGG